CGUAGGGUGCGAGCGUUAAUCGGAAUUACUGGGCGUAAAGGGUGCGCAGGCGGUUCUGCAAGUCAGGCGUGAAAGCCCCGGGCUUAACCUGGGAAUGGCGCUUGAAACUACAGGACUGGAGUAUGGCAGAGGGAGGUGGAAUUCCACGUGUAGCGGUGAAAUGCGUAGAGAUGUGGAGGAACACCGAUGGCGAAGGCAGCCUCCUGGGCCAAUACUGACGCUCAUGCACGAAAGCGUGGGGAGCAAACAGGAUUAGAUACCCUGGUAGUCCACGCCCUAAACGAUGAUGACUAGUUGUUGGAGGAGUUAAAUCCUUUAGUAACGCAGCUAACGCGCGAAGUCAUCCGCCUGGGGAGUACGGUCGCAAGAUUA
rnacentral:rRNA from 1 species